rnacentral:rRNA from 1 species
CCUACGGGAGGCAGCAGUGGGGAAUAUUGGGCAAUGGAGGCAACUCUUACCCAGCAAUGCCGCGUGAAUGAAGAAGGUCUUCGGAUUGUAAAGUUCUUUAAUUGGGGACGAAAAAAAUGACGAUACCCAAGGAAUAAGCCGCGGCUAACUACGUGCCAGCAGCCGCGGUAAUACGUAGGGGGCAAGCGUUGUUCGGAAUGACUGGGCGUAAAGGGUGUGUAGGGGGUGUUGCAAGUUAGAAGGGAAAUACCUAGGGCUUAAAUCAGGUGCUGCUUCGAAAACUGCUAUACUUGAGUGCAGUAGAGGAAAGUGGAAUUCCUAGUGUAGCGGUGGAAUGCGUAGAGAUAAGGAGGAACAUCAGUGGCGAAGGCGACUUUCUGGACUGUAACUGACGCUGAGGCACGAAAGUGUGGGGAGCAAACAGGAUUAGAUACCCUUGUAGUC